ACGGGUGAGUAACGCGUGGGAAUCUACCCAUCUCUACGGAAUAACGCAUGGAAACGUGUGCUAAUACCGUAUACGUCCUUCGGGAGAAAGAUUUAUCGGAGAUGGAUGAGCCCGCGUUGGAUUAGCUAGUUGGUGGGGUAAAGGCCUACCAAGGCGACGAUCCAUAGCUGGUCUGAGAGGAUGAUCAGCCACACUGGGACUGAGACACGGCCCAGACUCCUACGGGAGGCAGCAGUGGGGAAUAUUGGACAAUGGGCGCAAGCCUGAUCCAGCCAUGCCGCGUGAGUGAUGAAGGCCCUAGGGUUGUAAAGCUCUUUCACCGGUGAAGAUAAUGACGGUAACCGGAGAAGAAGCCCCGGCUAACUUCGUGCCUGCAGCCGCGGUAAUACGAAGGGGGCUAGCGUUGUUCGGAUUUACUGGGCGUAAAGCGCACGUAGGCGGACUAUUAAGUCAGGGGUGAAAUCCCGGGGCUCAACCCCGGAACUGCCUUUGAUACUGGUAGUCUUGAGUUCGAGAGAGGUGAGUGGAAUUCCGAGUGUAGAGGUGAAAUUCGUAGA
rnacentral:rRNA from 1 species